GCAGCCCAGCGGUAGAGCAACUGCUUUCCAUACAGCAGGUCCCAGGUUCAAUCCCCAGCAUCUCCA